AUGGGGAUGAGGCGCCGGAUCCGGGCACAUGAGGCAACCGUGACCCUGUUGGAGUGCGGGGGGGACCUCCAGCCCCCCGGGGGGUCCCUGACUCUGCUCUGCCGCGCCUCCGGGCUCACUUUUGGGAGUUACGACAUGGCCUGGGUUCGGCAAAGCCCCGGGAAGGCGCUGGAAUGGCUCACAGGGAUCAGGAGCGAUGGCAGCACCUUCUACGCGCCAUCGGUCAAGGGCCGGUUCACGAUCUCCAGGGACAACGGGCAGAGCUCGGUGACGCUGACCAUGAACAGCCUCAAGGACGAGGAUUCCGCCGUUUAUUUCUGUGCCAGGGGUUAUGCUAAUGAUGCUCGUGCUAAUGAUGCUGGUGCUAAUGAUGCUGUUUUUUCCCUGUCCCCAUCACUGUGUCCCCAUCGUCUCCACACCUCAAGUCUUGAUUCUGACCUUGAACACUGA